GAUGAACGCUGGCGGCGUGCCUAAUACAUGCCAGUCGAGCGAACAGACGAGGAGCUUGCUCCUCUGACGUUAGCGGCGGACGGGUGAGUAACACGUGGAUAACCUACCUAUAAGACUGGGAUAACUUCGGGAAACCGGAGCUAAUACCGGAUAAUAUAUUGAACCGCAUGGUUCAAUAGUGAAAGACGGUUUUGCUGUCACUUAUAGAUGGAUCCGCGCCGCAUUAGCUAGUUGGUAAGGUAACGGCUUACCAAGGCAACGAUGCGUAGCCGACCUGAGAGGGUGGUCGGCCACCCUGGAACUGAGACACGGUCCAGACUCCUGCGGGAGGCACCAGUAGGGAAUCUUCCGCAAUGGGCGAAAGCCUGACGGAGCAACGCCGAGUGAGUGAUGAAGGUCUUCGGAUCGUAAAACUCUGUUAUUAGGGAAGAACCAAUGUGUAAGUAACUAUGCACGUCUUGACGGUACCUAAUCAGAAAGCCACGGCUAACUACGUG
rnacentral:rRNA from 1 species